AUGCCCUAGGGCUAGUGGAAGACUUAAGAUGGCGGCGUUUGCACGGAGUGCAAUCACUGCGUCCUUACGGGGGUUGCAAGGCGUCCGAAGUAUGAGUCCACUAACAAAAGUCCAGAAACUCGCCAGUUAAUAGUAUUGUGUCUCUUCAAAAUAUCGGAGAAUAAUUUCUUUCUCGCUGAUCGCCUAACUUCUACUGACGAAGCUUGGAAGUUGCAGAAGUUUCUUCAAAGGAAAGAAGCAACUGGAACACACAUAUAACACUAACCCUUCCAGCUGCAUUAUGAGGGACCAGUACCUGUCUCAAGGCAAAAUUAUGACUUAGUUCAUCCUCACCUCUGGAGGCCAGUAAAAGUGGGUUAUAGAAGAACAAAGAGGCAUCUAGAUCUUUCACUGGGUUAUUUGGAGAGAAACAUCUCCUACCGAAGGCCAGUUUAACAAGACUGGUAGAGGAGGUUAUCUUAUCUAAUUCACAGAAAUCAACACAUUGAGUCAAGAAAAAUGAAACACAGAAACACUCUAAAUAAAAGAAGAUAAGUCUUCAGAAACCAACCCUAAUGAAAUGAAGAUAUGUGAUUAACCUGACAGGAAAUUAAAAAGAGCAACCAUAAAGAGUCUCAUGGGAGCAAUGCAUGAACAAACUGAGAAUUUUCAUAAAGAAAUAAAAGAUAACAAAAAGUAUAAAGUUGAAGAAUACAAUAACUGGACUCAAAAAUUUAAUGUGUCCAACAGAAGAAUCGAUGAAGCAGAAGAAAGGGCUAUCAAACUUGUAGAUAGGCCAUUGGAAAUCAUGUAAUGUGAGGAGAAAAAAGAAAAAAGAUUGAAGAUAGUUUAAGAGACUUUUGAGACAUCCUCAAAGGGGAAUAAUUUAUACAUUACCAGAUGGAGAAGAUAGAGGGAAAAGGACAGAAAACAUAUUUGAAGAAAUAAUGUCAGAAAACCUCAUAAUUCUGGCAAGGAAAUAGAAAUUUAGAUCUAAGAAUCUCGAACAUCAGGUAUGAUGAAUCCAAGGAGACUCACACCAAACCAUAUUGUAAUUAAAUAAAGGUUAAAGACAAUCUUCAGAGCAGCAAGGGAAUAGUCUCUUCUUACAUACAAAAUGAUCCACGGAAGACUGUCAGCAGACUUCACCAGAAAACUUUCACGCCAGAAGGCAGUCGUGAUAUAUACAAAAAGCUGAAAGGAAAACACUGCCAUCCAGGAAUACUAUCUCCAACUAUCCUGUGUUUCAAAAAUUAAGGAGAAAUAUAAAGUUCUCAAACAAAAGAUGUGGGAGUUUACCACCACUAGACCUGCACGGGAAGAAUUGCUAAAGGGAGUCCUUCAAGCUGUAGUAAAAGAGUGCUAAUUAGAAACAUGAAAACGUGAGUAUAAAACUCGCUGAUAAAAGUAAGUACAUAGUUGGCUGGGUGCGGUGGCUCACGCCUGUAAUCCUAGCAGUUUGGGAGGCCGAGGCAGGCACAUCACCUGAGGUCAGGAGUUCGAGACCAGCCUGGCCAACAUGGCACAACAUCGUCUUUACUAAAAAUACAAAAAUUAGCCAGGCGUGGUGGUAUGUGCCUGUAAUGCCAGCUACUCUGGAGGCUGAGGCAGGAGAAUCGCUUGAACCUGGGAGGUGGAGGUUGCACUGAGCCGAGAUGGCACCACUGCACUCCAGCCUGGGUGACAGAGCAAGACUCCAUCUCAAAACAGAAAAAGUACACAGUCAAACUGAGAAUAUGCUAAUACUGUAACGGUGGUGUGAAAACAAAUUAUGUAUUUAUCAUAAAAGUUAAGACAAAACUUAACUUGUAGCAACAAUAAUUUAAAUUAUACAAAUUAUAAAAUGAUAUAAAUUGUGUCAUCAGGAACACAAUGUGGGGUUGAAAGUAAAAGCAUAGCAUUUGAGUAAUUGAUCUAAUUUUAGUUGUAUUAAUUUAAAAUAGUCUCAUAAGUGUAAGAGACUGUUUAAGGUUCAUGGUAACCACAACGUUUGCAAAAAACCCUUAGUAGAUAUGCAAAAUAUAAAAAGAAAGUAGAUAUGCAAAAUAUAAAAAGGAAAACAUUGAAUCACAUAAAAAAACAGCAAGAAAGGAAGAGAAAAGCAAAGAAUUUGUAAUCAACCAGAAAACAAAUUGCAAAAUGACAGCAGAAAUUCUUUACCUGUCAAUAAGUGCUUUGAAUGUAAAUAGAUUAAAUUCUCUAAUCAAAGUACAUAAAGUGGAUGAAUGGAUUUUGAAAAGUCUCAUCUAUAUGUUGCCUACAAGACAGUUCAUUUUUAAGGAUACAUAUAAAUUGAAAGUGAAAGGAUGGACAGAUAUGCCAUGUAAAUGGAAACUAACAGAGAGCAGAGGCAGAUCUCUUAAUAUUUACAUCAGAUGAAAUAGAAUUAAAGUAAAAAUUUUUAAGCAGAGACAGGGUCAUUAUAUAAUGAUAAAAAGUGGUCUGUUCAUCCAUGGGGUAUAAAAGUCAUAAAGGUAUAUGCACUCAACAUUACAGCACCUAAAUAUAUAAAGCCAAUAUUAAAAGCUUUGAAGGAAAAUAUAAAAUCUAAUACAAUAAUUGAUGGGACUUCAGCACACCUCUUUAAGCAAUGGUGAGAUCAUUCAGACAGAACAUCAAUGAGACAUCAGACUUAAACCACAAUUGAAAACCAAAGUUGCCCAUAUGGACCUAAAAGACAUUGAUGCAGUCUUCUGUUCAACAGCAGUGGAAUACACGUUUUUCAAAAGUGCACACAGAAUAUUCUCCAGAGUAAAUCAUACGUUAGGUCACAAAAGAAGUCUUAAGAAAUUUUAAAAGAUUGAAGUAAUAUUGAAUAUCUUUUCUGACCAUAAUGGUAUGAAACUAGAAAUCAGUUAUAGGAGGAAUUUUAGAAUAUUCACAAGCACAUGGAAAUUAAAUAACAUAUCAAUCAGUGGUUCAAGGAAGAAAUUAAAAGUUAUUUUCAGAAAAACAAAAAUGGAAACACAAAAUACCAAAACUUAUAAUAUGCAAGAAAAGCAAUUCCUAGAGGGAAAUUUUAGCAAUAAAUGUCUAGAAGUACAAAGAAGAAAUAGCUCAAACAAUUUAAUGUUAUACCUAAGAGAACUAAAAGAAGAACGUAACAAAGAUUAUAGUAUAAAUGAGACUAGAAAAAUAAUAGAAAAUACCAACAAAACUGAGGGGAUAUUUUGAUAAACUAAAAAAAUUAAGCAAUGAACAAUAAAAUAAGUAAAAAGACAGUCCAAUAGUGAGUAAGAAGGCUGAAUCAAUAAUUAAAAGUUUCUCAUAAAACCAGGAACUUAUAGAUUCCCUUCUGAAUUCUACAGAUGUUUAACCCUUUUCCCGUUUGCCCCAAACUCGCUGGUGGCCCUUGUGGCUGUAGCAUUUACCCUGAGAUAACUUUGCUACAAAAUAUCUUGCUUUCAUUAUUUUCGUAUUGCUCUAGUAUAUUGACUUUGGAAGCAAAACACAUUUUUCUAUUUAUAGCAUUCUGUCUUUAGUAGUGGUAUUUCCAUUUACAAAGUAUAGUAACUCUCAAUCACUGAAAAUGUCAAAUUCUAGAAAACAUAGUAUUCCUGUGUAUGAUGUUAAUAUUCUUGAACAGUUAUUGUCCAAAGAUGCAUUGAUUUUCUUCAGAAAUAGACAAUUCCGAUGAUUGUGAUGUUCUGUUUAGAAAUAACUCCAAGAACAGUUUUUGUAUUUUAUUUUCACAUUGAAAAUCAGUCAGAUUUGCAUCAGCCUCAAAGCGCAUGUUUAUGUAAAAUAUUUAAGUCCUGGCAGCGAGCUGCCCUUUUUUUUUCCUAAAUGGGAAAAGAGUUAAAGAAAAGCUAAUAUCAAUCCUUUUCAUACUCUUUAUAAAAGUUGAAGAGGAGGGAAUAAGUUCCAAUCACACUUUAUGAGGCCAACGUUAACCUGAUACCAAAGUCAGAUGAAGACACUAAAAGAAUACAAAAUUACAGGCCAAUAUCCCUGAUGAACAUAGAUGCAGAAACCCCCAACAAAAUACCAGCAAACUGAAUUCAACAACAAAUUUAAAAGAUCAUUUUCCCAUGAUCACAUGGGGAGAUAACCUUUUGCAUUUAAGGAUGGUUAAACAUACAUAAAUCAAUAAAUUUGAUAGAUCACAUUAAAGUGAACAUCAAAAACUACAUGUCUCAAUACUUCCAGAAAAAGAAUUGACAAUAUUUAACAACCUUUUUUUUUUUUUUUUUUUUCGGAGACAGAGUCUUGCUCUGUCACCCAGGUUGGAGUGUGGUGGCACUAUCUUGGCUCACUGCAACCUCUGCCUCCUGGGUUCUCCUGCCUCAGCCUCCCGAGCAGCUGGGAUUACAGGCAUCUGCCACCAUGCCUAGCUAACUUUUGUAUUUUUAGUUGAGACAGGGUUUCACCAUGUUGGCUAGGUUGGUCUUGAACCCCUAACCUCAGGUGAUCCACCCUCCUUGACCUCCCAAAGUGCUGGGAUUACAGGCAUGAGCCACAGUCCCCGGCCCAAUACUUAACAUCUUUGCAUGAUAAAAACCUGAACAAGUUAGGUAUAAAAGGAAGAUGUCUCAACACAUUAAAGGCCCUAUAUGACCGGCCCAGAGCUGAAAUCUUAACACCGAAGAGUUGAAGGCUUUUUCUCUAAGAUCAGGAACAAGACAUGGAUGCCAUUUUUUCUCCUUCUGUUCAGUGUUGUACUGGAAGUCAUAGCAAGAGCAUUUAGGCAAGAGAAAUAAAAGACAUCUAAGUAGGAAAAGAAGAAAAAACUUGCCUCUCCUGAUUAUCUUAUCUUAUAGCUAGAAAACCUUAAAGACUCCAUUAAAAAAAAAAAAACUAUAGAACUAAUAAAAUGAAUUCCAUAAAAAGUGCUACGUACAAAAUUGACAAUUAAGUCUGUAGCAUUUCUAUACACUAACAAACAACAAUCUAUCCAAAAAAGUAAUCAGGAAACUAAUCACAUUUACACUAUUUACUAAGUAAACAAACUUAUGAAUGAAUUUAACCAAGUAGGUUAAAGAUCUGUAUAGUGAAAACAUUGAUGAAACGAAUUGAAGAUUACAAAAAUAGAAAUUUUUCUUUGUACAUGGAUUGGGAAAUUUAUAUUGUUAUAAUUUUCAUACUGCCAAAAGAAACAUACAGAUUCUGUGUAAUCAAUAUUUCAAUGUCCUUUUUAUUUUUAUUUUUUUUAC
rnacentral:lncRNA from 10 species